rnacentral:rRNA from 1 species
ACGCUCGACACCUACGGGAGGCAGCAGUGGGGAAUAUUGCACAAUGGGGGAAACCCUGAUGCAGCGACGCCGCGUGGAGGAAGAAGGUCUUCGGAUUGUAAACUCCUGUUGUUAGGGGAAAAAGAGGAUGGUACCCAACAAGGAAGUAGACGGCUAACUACGUGCCAGUAGCCGCGGUAAUCUGAGCGGGCUGGCAAGGC